AGUGAACGCUGGCGGUAGGCCUAACACAUGCAAGUCGAACGGCAGCACAGUAAGAGCUUGCUCUUACGGGUGGCGAGUGGCGGACGGGUGAGGAAUACAUCGGAAUCUACUUUUUCGUGGGGGAUAACGUAGGGAAACUUGCGCUAAUACCGCAUACGACCUACGGGUGAAAGCAGGGGAUCUUCGGACCUUGCGCGAUUGAAUGAGCCGAUGUCGGAUUAGCUAGUUGGCGGGGUAAAGGCCCACCAAGGCGACGAUCCGUAGCUGGUCUGAGAGGAUGAUCGGCCACACUGGAACUGAGACACGGUCCAGACUCCUACGGGAGGCAGCAGUGGGGAAUAUUGGACAAUGGGCGCAAGCCUGAUCCAGCCAUACCGCGUGGGUGAAGAAGGCCUUCGGGUUGUAAAGCCCUUUUGUUGGGAAAGAAAAGCAGCAGGUUAAUACCCCGCUGUUCUGACGGUACCCAAAGAAUAAGCACCGGCUAACUUCGUG
rnacentral:rRNA from 1 species